rnacentral:tRNA from 1 species
CAUUAGAUGGCUGAAGGCAAGCACUGGUCUCUUAAACCAUCCCAUAGUAAUGUAGCAAUUACUUCUGAUG